UACGUAGGGGGCAAGCGUUGUCCGGAAUCAUUGGGCGUAAAGAGCGUGUAGGCGGUUCAGUAAGUCUGCUGUGAAAGUCCAGGGCUCAACCCUGGGAUGCCGGUGGAUACUGCUGGGCUAGAGUACGGAAGAGGCGAGUGGAAUUCCUGGUGUAGCGGUGGAAUGCGCAGAUAUCAGGAAGAACACCCGUGGCGAAGGCGGCUCUCUGGGACGGUACUGACGCUGAGACGCGAAAGCGUGGGGAGCGAACAGG
rnacentral:rRNA from 1 species